CACGCAUCAAUCUCCUCUUGACAGAACGUGGUACACUAGUGAUCAACUAAUUAAGCUGUCCUUUGCCUAGCUGGCUAGUGACUCAGUGAGGAUCAAUGGCAUCCCAGCUGGUCUCACUCAUGAAGCGAUUAUGGAGCCAUCUUCCCUCUUCUCUUAGCAGUUCCAAGAGCGACCCUCCGCAGCAGAUUCCUGAUCCCAACGGUGAUCCUCCAGCCGCUCAAGCCGGGGACACUCCCGCUCUUCAAGAUCCUUUGUCGAAGAAUCAUUCUCCCAAUGGCGAGAUUUACGGAAACCAGAUGCUUACCAGUUCCAAGAGCUACCCUCCACACAAGAUUCAUGAUCCUCCCCAUAAAUUAAUGGCGUCUAUGCGCUCCCGACUGCAACUCAUGCCGCGGCAGCUAGGAAAGGGAAGCGACUGUGGAGCUGUCUUGCCUUCCUUAACUACAGGAGCAACCCUGGAGCACCCGAUUUAUGAACCCCGGCAUCCUUCGCAAAAACGGAAGUCUUUGCAAAAAUUGUACAGCCUGUAAGAUCCUGAUAUAUAGUGGGCUAGAAUAAAGAUAUCGGCUGUUAUGUACUAUUGUUGUCAUAUUGUUUUUCCUUUCGAUGCAACAUGUCAUGUAUAGUAUUGAUUUUCUAUACUUCUCCAAUCAAAUUGAUCAAGAAA